rnacentral:rRNA from 1 species
UACGGGGGGGGUAAGCGUUGUUCGGAAUUAUUGGGCGUAAAGAGCUUGUAGGCGGUUUGUCGCGUCUGCUGUGAAAAUCCGGGGCUCAACCCCGGACUUGCAGUGGGUACGGGCAGACUAGAGUGUGGUAGGGGAGACUGGAAUUCCUGGUGUAGCGGUGAAAUGCGCAGAUAUCAGGAGGAACACCGAUGGCGAAGGCAGGUCUCUGGGCCACUACUGACGCUGAGAAGCGAAAGCAUGGGGAGCGAACAGG